UUAAAUUUGUGUGAAUCUCUUUCCUUCUUACUUUACUUUCUCUCUCGACCAAAUAUAAGAAAGUGAGAAGUAAAUAUCGAUUCAACUGGAUUCAGCUUAAUUUCAUCUUCAACUCAAGAAUUUGUUGCAUCUUUUGAUAGAUUUCAUCAUUCAACCUCAUCAGUCAUCACAAAUACUCGAUUUUUAUUUCCUAACGUCUCUCCAAAAAUGAUGUUCGAGAAGGCCGCAAAGAGUUCGGGGUAGACAUUUUCAGAUCAUUAUUUGUGGAAAUAAAAUUUCCAAUGCUUGGGAUACCACUCAUGAAAGACCAACCCUUGGGGAGGUUGAGUCUUUGGGUAAUAUUGAAGUUACCACUUAUACGAGGAGAAAUAGAAAGAAGACACCAAUUGUGUAGAAGGAACUGGUCGUUGUUAAACUUGCUGAUGGGACUAAAAAAGUGCAGUGUAAUCACUAUAAGAUUAAACUUGUCAAGAACAAGAAUGGUACAACUACACAAUAUAAAAUGCAUUUAGAUGGUUGUAUGAAAUGUCAGGUAUCUUUAAAGGGACAAGAAAAUCUUUUUCUACCA